rnacentral:rRNA from 1 species
GUGAGGAAUAUUGCGCAAUGGAGGCAACUCUGACGCAGCCAUGCCGCGUGCAGGAAGAAGGCGCUACGCGUUGUAAACUGCUUUUAACCGGGAAGAAACCCCAGGACGUGUCCUGGGUUGACGGUACCGGAGGAAUAAGCACCGGCUAACUUCGUGCCAGCAGCCGCGGUAAUACGAAGGGUGCAAGCGUUAUCCGGAUUCAUUGGGUUUAAAGGGUGCGUAGGCGGAGCGUUAAGUCAGUGGUGAAAUCCUGCAGCUUAACUGUAGACGUGCCAUUGAUACUGGCGCUCUUGAGUGCGCUUGAAGUGGGCGGAAUGUGCCGUGUAGCGGUGAAAUGCUUAGAUAUGGCACAGAACACCAAUUGCGAAGGCAGCUCACUAAGGCGAUACUGACGCUGAGGCACGAAAGCGUGGGGAUCGAGCAGGAUUAGAAACCCUGGUAGUCC